UAUCUAUUCCAUAUUCUAUCACAAUAUCAUGGUAACAUUACUGAAUUGUAAUGAACCUGAAUUUAAACAGCCAUGAGAGAUUAACGCCAGCGUACUGGCUGGCACCAAUCUGGACAGAUGCUAAUAUUAGGCACACCAGCACUGCUCACCAGAGGCUGAUCAGAAGGGAGCUUACAGUUUAUCUGAUGGGAUUCUCUCAUUUCUCAAAUAAGAAAAUUCAGGCCCAAGUAAAAGUGACUUGCAACAAAAAUCACUGCAGCGAAGGGAUGUCAGGCAGCCCCGAGCCCAAGGCUUCCGUGCCUAGCCUCAUGCCCUUUCCAUCUCACAGGAAGUUUCUUGUGCUGAUGCAAAAAAUAGCUGCAAUUUGGUUUAAUUCUGGCGUGUGGAAUCGAUGCAGCUGACGGGCAAAGCCUGCCGAAGAUCACGUGCUCCCCCUGCUGAGCACACCAUCUCCCCUGCCCAUCAGGUUCCUCAGGAGGUGCCCCAUCGUCCUGGCAUUUCCAACACCUUGGCGUCUUCAUGGCAACUUCCCCUUCACAGCUUCUCAUGAUGGCCUCUCAGGAACACCACACAGGGACUGUAACCCUGCUGGAUACUGCCUGGCUUCAGCACGUUUUAGACCCUUGGUAGAAAGCCACUGUGCCCUGUCAGUCUUGAAUUUUGCAAAUGUCUUCAAAGUCAGUUCCACAUGGACAGCAGCCGAGUUCUGCUGCCAGGCUGAAGGGCAGUCUGGCACUUCCUACCACAGCUGCUUAGCCUUUGUGGACCUUGGUGGCUGAACCUGGGAAAACACUUUCUAAGGAGGCUGAUGCCCACAGGGAUUCCCUGUCAGAGAAACUCUCAAUUCAAGCUUUCUUCAGUUUUUUGUUUCUUUUUCCUGUUUCUGUGAUUAAAAUACUCUAAAAAAGAAACUGUAAUGGAGAAAGGAUUUAUUUGGGCUCAGAGUUCUAGAGCGACACAGUCCAUCAUGUGAAGGAAGGCAUGGCAGCAGGCAGGUAGCACCGUGGCAGGAUUGGGAAGCUCUCUGGUCACACUGUAUCCACAUUCAGAAGUGAGACCGGGCAAUAGUCUCAAGGCCCUAGUGAUCUACUUCACCUCCUAAAGGUUGCCUAGUCUUCCUAAACAGCUCCACCAAUGGGGACCGAGUGUUCAAUCACAGGGGCCUGUAGAGGACACUUGACAUUCAAACUACAACAUAGGAUCUUGCGUCUCACAGUUUUACAAACCAGACAUCAGGCAGGAUCUUGCCUUUAAGACACAUUUCCUAUGGUCUCAAUUGCAUUGAUGGCUCACUGUGUCUGCAGCUCCCUAGCCAGCAACUUGAAAUCCACUCACACUCCCUCCCUCACCUCUGCACAUUUUUCAAGUCUUUCUGCUUUGAAUUGUCAUAUCGACUUCAAUAAAUUCAUUGAGCAAAAACAAUUCCACUGCCUGAAUGUUAUAUCUUGAGAUUUCCUACACUAAACAAUUUAGUUUAUUACUUUUGAAUUCAAACUCACUCAAUUUCUCAAGAUGUAGGCAGAAUUCAGCCAGACUUUGUCGGAAUAGAACUUUUAUCGCCUCUGACCUAGUCCCCAACAGUCUCUGUUCCCCUGUGACCCCUCAUGAUCAGAUCAGUCUUUGCUGCCUGCGUUUCUCUUGGUAUUCUGGGGGGCUCCACUCCAUUGUGGGGGCCUACAGAGACCCCAGCUUGUGGUUUGUUUUCAUCUUGACUCAAGGUCAGAGCGUCCGAGCCUGUAUUCCCUGCUACACACAAGCCUGCACAAUACGGUGGUUUGGCUCAAGGUGUGGUUACAGGUGUCUUACACUUCAAGGCCUCAUUACAGGAUGCUUUGCCUAAUGGUUACCAGAUGUUUUGUACCUUGAACUGUGAUGACCUUGAAAGGGGGGGUCUUUUGCCCCCUUUAUUUUGGGUAUAUAAAGGCUGUGAAUAAUAAACUCAGGUGUCUGUGGUAUUGACCCAGAGCCCUCCCAAA